AUGGUGAUAUGGGCUGAUACAUUGCUAAAUUACAUGAUACAAACUCACUUCUUUUUUUAUUUUUGGUUUACUUUGUUGUGCUACAAUGGCUCUCCUAGGAAUGUUCUUCCAUGCUUUGAUGUGCACAAUCCAGAAAGUGCAUGCAUCCAGAAACCAAAUAGGAUUUUUUAUGUGUUAUCUUCUCUUAAAUCUAUAGACCUAAAGUGGUCGGACCCUUCCCUGGACCCUGCGCAAGCGGGAGCUACAUGCACCAGGUUGCCCUUUUUAUCUUCUCUUAAAUCUUGUGCUUGUCCAAUAAGAAUAAGGUUUGGUGGUAUUGCCUUUGUCUGUCACCUGGUAGAUUUCAGACUUCAAGCUAGCUGCAGUUAUUUCAGGUUCUAUGUGCAAAUCCUUGGUGUGACAUGA
rnacentral:rRNA from 1 species